rnacentral:rRNA from 1 species
GACGGAGGGUGCCAGCGUUGUUCGGAAUCACUGGGCGUAAAGGGCGCGUAGGUGGUUCGUUAAGUUGGAUGUGAAAGCCCCGGGCUCAACCUGGGAACUGCAUUCAAAACUGUCGAGCUAGAGUAUGGUAGAGGGUGGUGGAAUUUCCUGUGUAGCGGUGAAAUGCGUAGAUAUAGGAAGGAACACCAGUGGCGAAGGCGACCACCUGGACUGAUACUGACACUGAGGUGCGAAAGCGUGGGGAGCAAACAGG